CCCUGGCUCAGGACGAACGCAGGCGGCGUGCCUAAUACAUGCAAGUCGAGCGGAAUGAUGAAGAAGCUUGCUUCUUCUGAUUUUAGCGGCGGACGGGUGAGUAACACGUGGGCAACCUACCUUGUAGAUUGGGAUAACUCCGGGAAACCGGGGCUAAUACCAAAUAAUCCAUUUUGCUUCAUGGCGAAAUGUUGAAAGGCGGCUUCGGCUGUCACUACGAGAUGGGCCCGCGGCGCAUUAGCUAGUUGGUAGGGUAACGGCCUACCAAGGCGACGAUGCGUAGCCGACCUGAGAGGGUGAUCGGCCACACUGGGACUGAGACACGGCCCAGACUCCUACGGGAGGCAGCAGUAGGGAAUCUUCCACAAUGGACGAAAGUCUGAUGGAGCAACGCCGCGUGAGUGAAGAAGGUUUUCGGAUCGUAAAACUCUGUUGUAAGGGAAGAACACGUACGAGAGUAACUGCUCGUACCUUGACGGUACCUUAUUAGAAAGCCACGGCUAACU
rnacentral:rRNA from 1 species